GAACGCUGGCGGCGUGCCUAAUACAUGCAAGUCGAGCGAACAGACGAGGAGCUUGCUCCUCUGACGUUAGCGGCGGACGGGUGAGUAACACGUGGAUAACCUACCUAUAAGACUGGGAUAACUUCGGGAAACCGGAGCUAAUACCGGAUAAUAUAUUGAACCGCAUGGUUCAAUAGUGAAAGACGGUUUUGCUGUCACUUAUAGAUGGAUCCGCGCCGCAUUAGCUAGUUGGUAAGGUAACGGCUUACCAAGGCAACGAUGCGUAGCCGACCUGAGAGGGUGAUCGGCCACACUGGAACUGAGACACGGUCCAGACUCCUACGGGAGGCAGCAGUAGGGAAUCUUCCGCAAUGGGUGAAAGCCUGACGGAGCAACGCCGCGUGAGUGAUGAAGGUCUUCGGAUCGUAAAACUCUGUUAUUAGGGAAGAACAAAUGUGUAAGUAACUAUGCACGUCUUGACGGUACCUAAUCAGAAAGCCACGGCUAACUACGUG
rnacentral:rRNA from 1 species